UGGGGCAGGAAGUGCGACCGGGACAAAGGAACCGGCUGCGCGGGAGCGCGCCUGAGGGAGGCCGCGGGGGGCAGGGCCGGGACUGCGUUGAGACAGUCGCCGUGCCUCAGUUUCCUCCUCUGCGAAGGGCGGGAGGAGUCGGACGCGCCCUAGAGCCCCGCGCGUUCCUGGUGUAGCCUGCUGGGCCCGUGUUCUUUAAGUUCCUCUUCCUCGGAGCCGCGCGUUCGACCCUCGCUCCCGUUUGUCCACUGAUGUCCCGUUUCGAGCCCGGGAGAUCCUGCAUCUCGGAAGCCCCCUGAGUCCCGAGGCAAAUCGGGACCGUGAGCCCCCCUACCCUGCAGGGCUCCAUGGGGCCAAAAACCACGUGGUCCUUCUGGAAGGGAACUGGCUAAGCCAGGACUGCUUUUCUGGAGUGAUAAUGUGCUUGCCUGUGUCUAAGAGAAAGGUGAAGAAUUGGGAAACCCAUGGGUGUCACGAAGGGUGGUGAGACUGGGGAACGUUUUAGAAAACCUGGUGAGUUGCGUCCUGCUUUUGAUAGAUUUAUCUGGAGGUACCUUUAUGGGGAACAGGGAUGAGAAGGAAAAGUUUCUUCCUAAGGAGUACAGUUUCUGUUUCACCUCUUAAAAAAAAAAAAUUUGGAGAUUGGGGCUGGAAACAACGUUUGAAAGAGAAGGAAACAUUCAUUAUGAGAAUGGCUGAACGCAUGUCGAUUCGAUGAUUGAAGUCUGUACCAGCCAAAAUCAUACUGAAACCCAGUAAUUUAGUAUAUGCUACUGGCAAGCUGCUAUCCUGGUAGCAGAAAAUGCUGUGGGUUCCGCUUGGUGAGCUGCAGCACCCUGUUGGGAAAAGAGCUCAAAAAUUACCAGAUUUAUGAAAUAGAAGUGUUUCUCUUGCAGGAGAUUAGGGACUGGAAUGCCCAUUUGGCUGCUGCCAAUCAAUAUAAGAGAAAAUGAAGCGAUCACAUCUAAGAAAAUUUGCUCAUUACUUACCAGCAAAAUCAAAACUUGAUUAGCCAAUCUGAAGACCUCUAGGAAAUGAGCACUAUUUUUCCCACUUAAUGGAUGUUCAAGCUUAAGAGGCUAAAUGAUGUUCCUAUAUUAAUAUCUCAAUGGUCAAACUGCCAUUAGAACUCAACAUUCUUGAAUUUUAAAGGUAUCGGUUUUACCAUUGUUCAGAAUUCAUCAGAAUUGGCCCAGUCUCAGCACAGAAAACUGUAUAGUUCAAAAGCAUAAUUGGUCCGUGCCUGAUUUGCACUACAAUUUCCAGAAUUUUUUUCCCUGUACGUGACUGGUGGAGGCACUAGCUAGUCUUUGCUACAAGAACAUUAUGAGAUUUACAUAUGCACAACUCUAAACUAAAUUAGUUCCUCCAGGACAAUUUACUGAGCUUUUUAACACCACCGUCAAGCACUGUUGCAAGGACAGAUAAUAGGGGCUCAGAUAAUAUCUGAUAAAUGAAUAAAUGGGUCCUUUUGCUCUCCCAGGACUGGGCUAGAGCACUUGACUAAACUGAUGUGUGAGGUAGCAAUUUGUGUACAGAAGUCAUGAGUUUUGAGGAAAAAGAAAUUAAAGAAACAUGUUCUCUAAAAACUGCAGUCAUUGGUCAAGAAUACGAGUCUACUUGUGAUUUCAUACAAAUAAUGGGUGGACAGUGAGCUAUGAAAUUUAUGAAUACUCUAAGCAAAGGUUGGUCAGCAUACGUGCUAAACAGGAAAUCCUGAUAAGUAGGAAUAGUGCAAGCCACACUGCAACUUUUAUCAUAUUAGGUUGGUGCAAGGUCUACCAGAUGUGUCUUGCCUUCCCAUGUGUAAGGUCAACCAGAUAGCUCUCACCUUUCCAUGUCUAAGGUCAACCAGGGGGUGCUUGCCUUCCCGUGUCUAAGGUCGACCAGAUGGCUGUGUGCACCAACCUAAUAGAACAUCAUAAGUAUCUUGAGUUCAAGAUAAAUCCAUACCUUACCUACACUGUCUCCCAAUUAUUAUCAAUUGUCUUCUGCCAUCUCUUAAGUCAUUAUUAUGUCAAAUAAUUAAAGUCGGUGUUUCCUUUAGUUUUGUCACUGGUGAUACUACUACUUGCUCUUCAAAAUGUAUCUUUAUUCAUCUAACAUUUUGCAAAGUAAAGUUUCAAAGUUGUUCAGCAAGAAAGACAUUAUUGGAUGCCCAGGUUUGUAUUAGUUUGACUUAUAUUAUUAUUAAUUAGCACCCCUUUUAACUCUCAAAAGUAUGUCCUAGUAUAGAUGAUAAUUUAUAUGAUCACUCUAUAAAUAAGAGUGUCCAGAUAAUAAGGAAUAAGAAGAAUAAUUUUAGAAAUUCAAAGGGGAUUCAUAAGGAUAUAUUGCAAAUCAGGUUCCAGGUUUAUAGGUGAAGACUAAUUUCAACAUUGGUGAUAAUAAGGGGAAAAUGAGUUGCAGCGUGGGGGUGAGUAUGAAGAAUUAGGCAGUUGCUAUGUGAUGAAAAUGCCCUACUAGGAGAUUUUAUUAAGAAAAAAAUCUUAUUUUUUUUCUUAAUAACAGUACCCUGGCUGAUAAAUGGGACUUGGAUUUUAAAUACCAUUGGAUAAUAAAUGUAUGUGAUGGCUUUGGAGCAAAUUGAUUGACAAUGGCUAGGAGACAGCUUCCCAAGGCUGGAAAGAGGGGAGUGCGGAACAUGCCUCCACCAUACCACUGCCCACCUCCUGUGACCUCUGCAGCAAAACCUGAAGCCCCAAAGAGGCAGCUUCUCAAAGUAAAAGUGGAAUGAAGAGUCGGGGUUUCACCAUGUUGCCCGGCCUGGUCUCGAACUCCUGGCCUCAAGUCUCUCUGGCUCAGCCUUCCAAAGUGCCAGGAUAACAGGCGUGAACCACGACACCCAGCUUGCUUUGUGUACUUCUAGGGGCUCAGGUGAACCACAUGAGUUCCUGGAUGUGCUUCCAUGUUUCACAGUGAAUUCAUGUUUUUGGUCCAAUCAUGACCAUUUAGACUGUUUAAGAAGGCUGUGUACCAGCUUUAAUAUUGUAUUUUAUGAUAUUAGUGAUCCCUGAAUUUUAUUUGAAAAAAUAUUAUUUUACUGAGUGAUUUAGUAGGCUUGAUCAUUUUCCUUGCAGCUUUCAUAUUUUGUGACACACUGAUUUAAGAAUCAAGUCUAUAUCUGAAUGUGAAAAAUCUGCAAUGAGGAUAGCAAACAAUUAUAUUGUUUUAAUAGAAAAAUUAUUUGAUAAUUUCCAUGUAUUGAUGAUUUCAGUAGAAUCUAUUCUGCAUUUAACCAACAAUCAGUAGUUCCCAAGCUAUUCCGUAGUUUUAGCUUUAACACAUAGUACAUGCUUAAUAAACAUUAGCUGAAUGAAUGAAUGAAUGAAUGACUAAAGACUUUCAGGACCUGGAAGGGAGGAUGUAAAGAACCCAGGGCCAAGUGUCAUGCAAGCACUGGAGCAUCUAGAUCCCCUCCGGACACCAGCUUCCUUUCCCACAACCCAAAUGUUCUUUUCCUUUUAUGAAUUUUCUUUAAUCGUGACAAAAUAUAUAUAAUAUAAAAUGUAUCAUUUUAACUGUU
rnacentral:lncRNA from 1 species